AGGAUUAGCAAGUACUGUGGGAGCUGGGAAGACAAUGGCUUCUUGAGUGGCGUAGCUUACACUGGGCACAGAGAGCCGAAUAUCCUGUUGCAGUCUGCCAACGGAGCAAAGCUUCAUGCAGCUGCACCCAGCCGUGGAGUUACCCAUUUGUGCUACCCUGUGGGUUAGGGGUACCCCAGUGGUAACUAACAGAGUUCUUUUGAAUGCUGGUCAUCGUCGUGGGAAACCACCAGUUUCUGCUCUCAAGAGACUCACUGUCCCACCUCCGGCAGGACACCUACUUCCAUAAACCAGCCCAUCAGCUGACUUCUUUCCUUGUCUGUCCAUUACUACAAAAGUCAAGACCCUUACAGUUAUGAG